rnacentral:misc_RNA from 1 species
AUUUCAAUAAAAAGAAGGGCGAAGCGCCUUUAUUAGCAGAAUCAUGGUCCAUAUGUUUAUUCAAUUCCAAACUUCUGCCUUAGCACUUUUACAAAUUCACAGACCUUAUGUUGAUCAGGCAAAGACUUAGCCACACUGUCCCUCAGCAUACAAUUCUUGGCCCAAGCCACAAACUUUGGGCACUCAGCCUCUACACUGAUGUUAGCAUAACUCUCAUAAGCAUAAAACCAGCUAUA